rnacentral:rRNA from 1 species
GUGGGGAAUUUUGGACAAUGGGGGGAACCCUGAUCCAGCCAUGCCGCGUGUGUGAAGAAGGCCUUUUGGUUGUAAAGCACUUUAAGCGAGGAGGAGGCUACCGAGAUUAAUACUCUUGGAUAGUGGACGUUACUCGCAGAAUAAGCACCGGCUAACUCUGUGCCAGCAGCCGCGGUAAUACAGAGGGUGCAAGCGGUAAUCGGAUUUACUGGGCGUAAAGCGCGCGUAGGUGGCCAAUUAAGUCAAAUGUGAAAUCCCCGAGCUUAACUUGGGAAUUGCAUUCGAUACUGGUUGGCUAGAGUAUGGGAGAGGAUGGUAGAAUUCCAGGUGUAGCGGUGAAAUGCGUAGAGAUCUGGAGGAAUACCGAUGGCGAAGGCAGCCAUCUGGCCUAAUACUGACACUGAGGUGCGAAAGCAUGGGGAGCAAACAGGAUUAGAAACCCCGGUAGUCC